AGAGUUUGAUCAUGGCUCAGAACGAACGCUGGCGGCGUGCUUAACACAUGCAAGUCGCGUGCGCAGUCCGUAGCAAUACGGAUGGGCGCACGGCGCACGGGUGCGUAACACGUGGGCAAUCUGCCCUCUGAUGGGGAAUAACCCGCCGAAAGGCGGGCUAAUUCCGCAUAAGAUUCCCCGGGACUUCGGUUCUGGGAUUGAAAGCAGUAAUGCGUCGGAGGAGGAGCCCGCGCCCGAUUAGCUAGUUGGUGAGGUAACGGCUCACCAAGGCAAUGAUCGGUAGCUGGUCUGAGAGGAUGAUCAGCCACACUGGAACUGAGACACGGUCCAGACUCCUACGGGAGGCAGCAGUGGGGAAUCUUGCACAAUGGGCGAAAGCCUGAUGCAGCGACGCCGCGUGGGGGAUGAAGCAUUUCGGUGUGUAAACCCCUUUCGACUGGGAAGAAUACCUCGCAAGAGGGGUGACGGUACCAGUAGAAGAAGCCCCGGCUAACUACGUGCCAGCAGCCGCGGUAAGACGUAGGGGGCCAGCGUUGUUCGGAAUUACUGGGUGUAAAGGGUUCGUAGGCGGUGCGGCAAGUUGGGAGUGAAAUCUCUGGGCUUAACCCAGAGGCUGCUUCCAAAACUGCUGUGCUCGAGUGUGGGAGAGGCGCGUGGAAUUGCAGGUGUAGCGGUGAAAUGCGUAGAUAUCUGCAGGAACACCCGUGGCGAAAGCGGCGCGCUGGACCACUACUGACGCUGAGGAACGAAAGCUAGGGGAGCAAACAGGAUUAGAUACCCCGGUAGUCC
rnacentral:rRNA from 1 species